rnacentral:rRNA from 1 species
GAUGAACGCUGGCGGCGUGCCUAAUACAUGCAAGUCGAGCGAACAGACGAGGAGCUUGCUCCUCUGACGUUAGCGGCGGACGGGUGAGUAACACGUGGAUAACCUACCUAUAAGACUGGGAUAACUUCGGGAAACCGGAGCUAAUACCGGAUAAUAUAUUGAACCGCAUGGUUCAAUAGUGAAAGACGGUUUUGCUGUCACUUAUAGAUGGAUCCGCGCCGCAUUAGCUAAUUGGUAAGGUAACGGCUUACCAAGGCAACGAUGCGUAGCCGACCUGAGAGGGUGAUCGGCCACACUGGAACUGAGACACGGUCCAGACUCCUACGGGAGGCAGCAGUAGGGAAUCUUCCGCAAUGGGCGAAAGCCUGACGGAGCAACGCCGCGUGAGUGAUGAAGGUCUUCGGAUCGUAAAACUCUGUUAUUAGGGAAGAACAAAUGUGUAAGUAACUAUGCACGUCUUGACGGUACCUAAUCAGAAAGCCACGGCUAACUACGU